rnacentral:rRNA from 1 species
AUGCAACGCGAAGAACCUUACCAGGGUUUGACAUGCUUAAAGUAGGAACUCGAAAGAAGGGACUACCUGUAUCCAGUCAGGAGUUUGCACAGGUGCUGCAUGGCUGUCGUCAGCUCGUGCCGUGAGGUGUUAGGUUAAGUCCUGCAACGAGCGCAACCCUCGUCGCUAGUUGUUUUCUCUAGCGAUACUGCCCGUAUAACGUGGAGGAAGGUGGGGAUGACGUCAAGUCAGCAUGGCCCUUACAUCCUGGGCUACACACACGCUACAAUGGGUGAUACAACAGGUUGCAAUAGAGUAAUCUGGAGCCAAUCCCUAAAAUCAUCCUCAGUACGGAUUGCAGGCUGCAACUGCCUGCAUGAAGUUGGAGUUGCUAGUAAACGCAGGUCAGCACACUGCGUUGAAUACGUUCUCGGGCCUU